rnacentral:rRNA from 1 species
AUUGAACGCUGGCGGCAGGCCUAACACAUGCAAGUCGAACGGUAGCAGGAAGAAGCUUGCUUCUUUGCUGACGAGUGGCGGACGGGUGAGUAAUGUCUGGGAAACUGCCCGAUGGAGGGGGAUAACUACUGGAAACGGUAGCUAAUACCGCAUAACGUCUACGGACCAAAGAGGGGGACCUUCGGGCCUCUUGCCAUCGGAUGUGCCCAGAUGGGAUUAGCUAGUAGGUGGGGUAACGGCUCACCUAGGCGACGAUCCCUAGCUGGUCUGAGAGGAUGACCAGCCACACUGGAACUGAGACACGGUCCAGACUCCUACGGGAGGCAGCAGUGGGGAAUAUUGCACAAUGGGCGCAAGCCUGAUGCAGCCAUGCCGCGUGUAUGAAGAAGGCCUUCGGGUUGUAAAGUACUUUCAGCGGGGAGGAAGGGAGUGAGGUUAAUAAGCUCAUUCAUUGACGUUACCCGCAGAAGAAGCACCGGCUAACUCCGUGCCAGCAGCCGCGGUAAUACGGAGGGUGCAAGCGUUAAUCGGAAUUACUGGGCGUAAAGCGCACGCAGGCGGUCUGUCAAGUCGGAUGUGAAAUCCCCGGGCUCAACCUGGGAACUGCAUUCGAAACUGGCAGGCUUGAGUCUCGUAGAGGGGGGUAGAAUUCCAGGUGUAGCGGUGAAAUGCGUAGAGAUCUGGAGGAAUACCGGUGGCGAANGCGGCCCCCUGGACGAAGACUGACGCUCAGUGCGAAAGCGUGGGGAGCAACAGGAUUAGAUACCCUGGUAGUCCAGCCGUAAACGAUGUCUACUUGGAGGCUGUGGUCUUGANCCGUGGCUUCCGGAGCUAACGCGUUAAGUAGACCGCCUGGGGAGUACGGCCGCAAGGUUAAAACUCAAAUGAAUUGACGGGGGCCCGCACAAGCGGUGGAGCAUGUGGUUUAAUUCGAUGCAACGCGAAGAACCUUACCUACUCUUGACAUCCAGAGAACUUAGCAGAGAUGCUUUGGUGCCUUCGGGAACUCUGAGACAGGUGCUGCAUGGCCGUCGUCAGCUCGUGUUGUGAAAUGUUGGGUUAAGUCCCGCAACGAGCGCAACCCUUAUCCUUUGUUGCCAGCGGUCCGGCCGGGAACUCAAAGGAGACUGCCAGUGAUAAACUGGAGGAAGGUGGGGAUGACGUCAAGUCAUCAUGGCCCUUACGAGUAGGGCUACACACGUGCUACAAUGGCGCAUACAAAGAGAAGCGACCUCGCGAGAGCAAGCGGACCUCAUAAAGUGCGUCGUAGUCCGGAUUGGAGUCUGCAACUCGACUCCAUGAAGUCGGAAUCGCUAGUAAUCGUGGAUCAGAAUGCCACGGUGAAUACGUUCCCGGGCCUUGUACACACCGCCCGUCACACCAUGGGAGUGGGUUGCAAAAGAAGUAGGUAGCUUAACCUUCGGGAGGGCGCUUACCACUUUGUGAUUCAUGACUGGGGUG